AGACGUCUACAUUAGAUACCCGGGUAGUCCCAGCCGUAAACUAUGCGCGUUAGGUGUAUCGGUGACCACGAGUUACCGAGGUGCCGAAGGGAAACCGUGAAACGUGCCGCCUGGGAAGUACGGUCGCAAGGCUGAAACUUAAAGGAAUUGGCGGGGAGCACCACAACAGGUGGAGCCUGCGGUUUAAUUGGACUCAACGCCGGGAAGCUCACCGGAUAGGACAGCAGAAUGAUUGCCGGGCUGAAGACUCUGCAUGACUAGCUG
rnacentral:rRNA from 1 species